rnacentral:rRNA from 1 species
UGGAGGCUUGUAUGAAUGGUUGGACAAGAAGCAAACUGUCUCAAAUACAAUAAUUGAAUUUGACUUUUAAGUGAAAAGGCUUAAAUAUUUUAAAGGGACGAUAAGACCCUAUAAAGCUUAAUAAUUUAGUAUACAAUUAGAUGAGUUAAAAGUUUAAUAUUAUUUAUAUACUGAAUUAUUUCGUUGGGGCGACGAUGAUAUAAUUUGUAACUGUUUAAAUCUAAAAUACAGAGAUAUUUGUGUGUAAUGAUCCUUGUUGUUGAUUAAAAAUUUAAGUUACUUUAGGGAUA